rnacentral:misc_RNA from 1 species
AAGUCGUAACAAGGUUUCCGUAGGUGAACCUGCGGAAGGAUCAUUAUUGAAUUAGCGAGGGCUGUCUGCUGGCCCCUUCGGGGGCAUGUGCACGUCCGAGCCGUUUAAAUCAACACCUGUGAACUCACCGUAGGCCUUCGGGCUUAUGUAUCAUAUAUAUAUAUAUACUCAGAUCAUAGAAUGUACAUUUUGCCUUUAAAAAAGCAAUCAAAUACAACUUUCAACAACGGAUCUCUUGGCUCUC